CCCUUCAUUGUCAAUAAGAAGGUUUGACCCCUUUAUAUCUCGAUGCAACACAUGACGGUUGUGACAGUGUAAUAUUAAGCAGCUGUUUUAUGGU